rnacentral:lncRNA from 1 species
GAUGAACUCAUCACUUGGGGCUGGUUCAUGUGCCAGCGGCACCUCUUUCUUUUCCACCGGUGGCGGUGGCGGUGGCGAGUUAACCGGGGGAGGUGGUGGCGAGUGAACAGGUGGAGGUGGCGAAUGGACUGGUGGCGGCGGGGAAUGUACCGGUGGGGGUGGUGGUGAAAAGACAGGUGGUGGAGGAGAGUAGACAGGCGGAGGUGGUGGGGAGUGGACUGGCGGUGGAGGAGAGUGGACAGGAGGUGGCGGAGAGUGAACCGGUGGUGGUGGAGAGUGGACUGGGGGAGGAGGAGGUGGCGGGGAGUGAACCGGUGGAGGAGGUGGUGGUGGAGAGUGAACCGGUGGUGGUGGAGAGUGAACUGGUGGAGGUGGUGGUGGUGGUGGUGGAGAGUGAACCGGUGGUGGUGGAGAGUGAACUGGUGGAGGAGGUGGUGGCGGAGAGUGGACCGGUGGUGGUGGGGAAUGGACUGGUGGUGGUGGAGAGUGGACCGGCGGUGGAGGAGAGUGAACCGGGGGUGGAGGAGAGUGGACCGGUGGUGGUGGAGAGUGGACUGGCGGUGGGGGAGAGUGUACCGGCGGUGGAGGAGAGUGAACCGGUGGUGGUGGAGAGUGGACUGGGGGUGGCGGAGAAUGAACCGGCGGUGGUGGUGAGUUAACCGGUGGUGGCGGAGAGUGAACUGGUGGUGGUGGAGAGUAAACUGGUGGAGGAGGUGAAGGAAGAGGAGGAGAAAGAAGUGGUGGAGAGCUUACCGGAGUUGGUGGAGGAGAGAAAACCACUGGAGGUUGGGAUUCAUGAGGUGGAGGAGGACUGCGUCGGUUACCCACUGGAGAUUGAUCGUAAGGAUCAUCCGGUUGGGGUGACUUUUUUGGUGGUUGUGGUUCAUGAACCGGUCGAGUUGGAACUGGAGAUGGUUUGUGAACAGGUGUAGUUGGAACUGGCGAUGGUUUGUGAACAGGCGUAGUUGGAACUGGCGAUGGCUUGUGAACCGGCGAUGGUUUGUGAACAGGCGUAGUUGGAACUGGCGAUGGUUUGUGAACAGGCGUAGUUGGAACUGGCGAUGGCUUGUGAACCAGCGAUGGUCUCGACGGAGUAGAGGAGCCGCCACCAGCGCAUUUGUCCUUGCUACAGUCAACCGGACGGCUGAUCACUACUGCACAUUCCUGGGCGGACCGUUGGUCUGGUCGAUG